AACGGCCAUACCAUGCUGAAUAUACCGGUUCUCGUAGUUUAUAUAGAUCACCGAAGUCAAGUAUCAUUGGGCGCGGUCAGUACUUGGGUGGGUGACCACCUGGGAACACCGCGUGCC
rnacentral:rRNA from 1 species